AUUGAACGCUGGCGGCAGGCUUAACACAUGCAAGUCGAACGAUUAGCGGACGGGUGAGUAAUGUCUGGAAAACUGCCUGAGUGAGGGGGAUAACUACUGGAAAUGGUAGCUAAUACCGGAUACUAUCAGAUGUGCCCAGAUGGGAUGAGCUAGUAGGCGGUGUACAGGCUUACCUAGGCGACGAUCCCUAGCUGGUCUGAGAGGAUGACCAGCCACACUGGAACUGAGACACGGUCCAGACUCCGACGUGAGGCAGCAGUGGGGAAUAUUGCACAAUGGGCGCAAGCCUGAUGCAGCCAUGCCGAGUGUAUGAAGAAGGCCUUCGGGUUGUAAAGUAAUUUCAGCGGGGAGGCGUUACCCGCAGAAGAAGCACCGGCUAACUCCGUGCCAGCCGCCGCGGUAAUAC
rnacentral:rRNA from 1 species